GACGAACGCUGGCGGCGUGCUUAACACAUGCAAGUCGAACGGAAAGGCCCUGCUUUUGUGGGGUGCUCGAGUGGCGAACGGGUGAGUAACACGUGAGUAACCUGCCCUUGACUUUGGGAUAACUUCAGGAAACUGGGGCUAAUACCGGAUAGGAGCUCCUGCUGCAUGGUGGGGGUUGGAAAGUUUCGGCUGUUGGGGAUGGACGCGCGGCUUAUCAGCUUGUUGGUGGGGUAGUGGCUUACCAAGGCUUUGACGGGUAGCCGGCCUGAGGGGGUGACCGGCCACAUUGGGCCUGAGAUACGGCCCAGACUCCUACGGGAGGCAGCAGUGGGGAAUAUUGCACAAUGGGCGGAAGCCUGAUGCAGCAACGCCGCGUGCGGGAUGACGGCCUUCGGGUUGUAAACCGCUUUCGCCUGUGACGAAGCGUGAGUGACGGUAAUGGGUAAAGAAGCACCGGCUAACUACGUG
rnacentral:rRNA from 1 species